rnacentral:misc_RNA from 1 species
CUUUUUUUUUUUUUUUUACUAUUUUGAACCUCACUGUUGCUAUGGUCAUGUCUAGGGCCCAGCUUCUUUUUUACUCCCUCCACUCCACCACCUCAAGUUGCUUAAUGACCCUUGAACCUAUGCAUGAGUUUCACCCCCCAUCUACCCUACUCUUCUUGAAUAUAUACUCUUCUGACAUGCACACAAACUUGUUUGAGUUAGAAUCGCUGUGUUAUUAUUGGCAUGCUCAUGGAAUUGGUUGUUGGUUGUGGUCUGGUUCACUGGGCCGAUUGCUUUUCUUAGCUGUGUAUUUUCCUGGUUAUUACUUAUUGGACCAAGUGCUCUUUUUGGCUAGUUAUUCUCUCUGGUUGAACUAAGGGUGCUGAGCUGCUGAUCUGGCUCAUAUAGAGGAUCAAUUGAGCUGCUUUAUGGCUUAUGUGAAACGGAUUUUUGCACAUCAUCUUUGGCUUGUGUCGCUUGUAUGGUUUAUGUUUUGGCAGGAUAUGGAGGUUGAUGCUCCAAUUACCUGCAUCCAUGAACCCUUAGGACUUUGAUAGGUUUAUGGAGAAUCAGUAUAGUGUUUAAGUUUAUUAAUAUUGCCUAAUUUGUUAAUAUGAACUAUAAAUUAGUUUGAUUUAAAAAAAUUGCCUAAUCUCAAACUUGCCCUUUCAAAAACUGAAAUUGCGAGGCUACCAGCUACCAAAUAUCUUUUAAUCUGGUAUAUCUUCAAUUGGCUCAUGUGAAUUAGUAUCUUGUCUUUAAAAUGCAGAAAUGCUACAUUAGCAUUUUUUUUCCUUGGUGUUUGUGCAAGGACUAUUCCCCCUAUAUAUUAGGUUCAUAUUCGCUCAAUCUCAACAAUUAGGAUCUGUUUUUCUGAGAAGCUCCUGCAGUUGGUGUCGUUUUCCAAUGCUGUGUUAUCUGCUGUUACUUUGACUUUUCACUUUAUUGUAAGAUAUCCAUGUUGAUUCCAUGGUAUUCCCAUACUUAAUACAUAUGUAUGUACCCUAGUCCAACUAACAUAGGUUUUAUCUGCAACCUUGUCUGCGGAUAAACAAGUGGAGGUGAAAUAUAAAAUUUGCAAAGGUAGCUGGAAUUUGGGUCAUUAAGUUGAAAGCAAUGCCGGUAACUUUUCUCCGUCAAGUUACUGAUUUAUUUACGCUACAGCACUGCAUGCUUAUGGUUUUAGCCACUUCUGUAUGGUAAUUCACAUUUUGCCUCGCCCUUUCUCUCUUCUCUUUUUUGUUCCCCCCUGUUGGUUUGAGGCCGAGAGCUGAAAAUUCAUUCUCAGAGGUUAAAUCCAUGAUUUCAUCUUUGUACCCUUCUGGUUUACCAUGAAGGUUGCAUGACCAUGCAUUAUCAGUUACAUUAUAUUUACGUUCUCAUGUUGCUAGAACAUAUUUGCCAAUCAAACUUCUUUUGCAUCAUCAUGUAAACUUGGCUGAUGAAUAUAAUACAAGGGGUUAUGUUUUCAAGAUUAGGGUAACUUUAUCUGACAUAGAAUCUGCAUUUCAAUCACCCAUAACUUAUUUCUGAUGAUUUUAUUGUCUUGCAGAUCUUAAAGUUACAACAAAGGAUCCAAUCUCUCCAAGCUGGAAAGGCCAAGGCAUAAUUUGGAAUGUUUUAUAAUUAAUAGACGUGUUACUCUUUUUGUUUUUGGAUCACUAUGCAAUUAACUUACAUGUGAAAAAUAUUGUGGUUUUUGGGGGACUAGAUGUUGAUUAUAAUUUCUAUAUGCUCUGCCAUGACACUGGAAAGAAAAAAGCAAUGACUUGGUCUUGGAAUUUGGAAGUGGAAAAUAUUGAGGCUUUUGUUCUAACUUGAGAACUAUGGCACUAAUUUUGUUGUGUUAUAUUCAGAAUAAGGCUCCGAUUUUGAAAGGCAUGGUGUAUUUCUGAAAUGUCCAUGGGAUACAAAAUGGUCACUCUAGAGUGGCGUUUACAAUGAAGGCAUGAUUGUUUUGGAUAAUUGAAGAUAGAGAGAUUGUAAAGGUUGAACUUUGAACUUCAAUGUCUAUUUUUAAAUAGUCUCACUUAACAUAACAUUAUAUUAAUGGCGCUCA